rnacentral:tRNA from 1 species
GCGGAUGUAGCCAAGUGGAUCAAGGCAGUGGAUUUGUGAAUCCACCAUGCGCGAGG